GCCGGGCAUGGUGGCGCAUGUCUGUAAUCCCAGCUACUCCGGAGGCUGAGGCAGGAGAAUCACUUGAACCCAGGGGACGGACGGGGAUGGAGUGAGUCCAGAUUGCACCACUGUACUCCAGCCUGGGCAACAGAGUGAGACUCUGUCUCAA
rnacentral:SRP_RNA from 1 species